UGUGGCUUGGUUCGAUCCAAUCCCCUCUGUUCAUGCUAAUUUGGUUCUGCAGUGUCACUGUCUACAGGGAUUGGGGCCUUUUGUGGCUAUGUACAUGUGCUGCAUCAGUACUACACAGGCAAUCUGCAAUCAACAACGCCGCGGUAGUAGAAUGAAGUUGUGGCUAUGAAGUAGAGGGAUUAUUGACCUUCUGGAGCUCGAACUUCUUGUUCUCGAACUCGUCGUCGGGGGAGGCCUGGCUCUACAGCUUCUCGGCAGUGUGCUAUGCGCCAUCUCCGCCUUCCUCUCCCUCCGCGCCCCCUCCUCUGACGGACCCUCCCACCCAUCGCCCAGGCGGCGAACCUGGCCGGCGCGUGGUCGCGGGAGAGACGGUGUGCGUGGUGGGGCCUCGGGUCCCAGCUGCAGAAGUGCAGCGCCGACGGCCUCGAAAGCCAGGCGGAGGUCGAGCACGGCGAAGAGCGCCGGCCGGGAGCGCACGGCCGCCCGCCAGGAGCGGCAGCACGCCAUGGCGCCGCGCCACAGGUCCUCCAGGCCCAGCCGCGAGAACGCCUCCUCCAGGCACACCGGCGUCAGAUCCGCCCACUCCCUCUGCUCCUCCUCCUCCCCCGGCGCCGCCUCGCCGGCCUCGCGUCCGGUUGCCAUCUCGCCUCCGCUCGCUUUUCUCUUCGGGUUGGUGGGCUGGUUGGUUCGGUUGGGUGGUGAGGGAAGGGGAGGGGCGAGAGCAGGGGGCGUGGGGGAGGCCAUGAACGACGGCGAGCUCCGCCGGAGGGAGGUGGCGGUGGCGGCGAUGGAUCUGGAAGGGAGGAGGCGAGCUCUCUCCAUCGGGCGAGACAGCGAGGAGACGGGGGAUCUGGAAUGGGAUUGAUGGAUCUGAAACUGGAAAGAAAGGAGGC
rnacentral:rRNA from 1 species